rnacentral:rRNA from 1 species
GACGAACGCUGGCGGCGUGCUUAACACAUGCAAGUCGAACGAUGAAGCCGGAGCUUGCUCCGGUGGAUUAGUGGCGAACGGGUGAGUAACACGUGAGCAAUCUGCCCUUGACUCUGGGAUAACUGCGGGAAACCGUAGCUAAUACCGGAUACGACACCUUGGGGCAUCCCAGGGUGUGGAAAGAACUUCGGUCAAGGAUGAGCUCGCGGCCGAUCAGCUAGUUGGUGAGGUAAUGGCUCACCAAGGCGACGAAGGGUAGCCGGCCUGAGAGGGUGAACGGCCACACUGGAACUGGGACACGGACCAGACUCCUACGGGAGGCAGCAGUGGGGAAUAUUGCACAAUGGGCGAAAGCCUGAUGCAGCAACGCCGCGUGAGGGAUGAAGGCCUUCGGGUUGUAAACCUCUUUUAGCAGGGAAGAAGCGAAAGUGACGGUACCUGCAGAAAAAGCACCGGCUAACUACGUGCCAGCAGCCGCGGUAA